GUUUACGUGGGGUAGCGGUUAUCACGUGUGCUUCACGCGCACAAGGUCUCCGGUUCGAUCCCGGGCGGGAACA
rnacentral:tRNA from 1 species